rnacentral:rRNA from 1 species
UUCCUACGGGGGGCAGCAGUGGGGGAUAUUGCACAAUGGGGGGAACCCUGAUGCAGCGACGCCGCGUGGGUGAAGAAGCGCCUCGGCGCGUAAAGCCAUGUCAGCAGGGAAGAAAAUGACGGUACCUGAAGAAGCAGCCCCGGCUAACUACGUGCCAGCAGCCGCGGUAAUACGUAGGGGGCAAGCGCUAUCCGGAUUUACUGGGUGUAAAGGGGGCGCAGACGGCGAUGCAAGCCAGGCGUGAAAGCCCGGGUCCCAACCCCGGGACUGCUCUUGGCACUGCGCGGCUGGAGUGCUGCAGGGGG